rnacentral:rRNA from 1 species
AUGGUGAGGUAACGGCUCACCAUAGCAAUGAUGUCUAGGGGUUUUGAGAGGAAGGCCCCCCACACUGGGACUGAGACACGGCCCAGACUCCUACGGGAGGCAGCAGUGAGGAAUAUUGGACAAUGGAUGGAAAUCUGAUCCAGCCAUGCCGCGUGCAGGAAGACGGCCUUAUGGGUUGUAAACUGCUUUUAUACGGGAGCAAUAAGGGUUACGAGUAAUCCGAUGAGAGUACUGUAUGAAUAAGGAUCGGCUAACUCCGUGCCAGCAGCCGCGGUAAUACGGAGGAUCCGAGCGUUAUCCGGAAUUAUUGGGUUUAAAGGGUGCGUAGGCGGCCAUUUAAGUCAGCGGUGAAAUUUUGCAGCUUAACUGUAACAGUGCCGUUGAUACUGUUUGGUUAGGAUUUGGUUGUAGUGUGCGGAAUGUGUGGUGUAGCGGUGAAAUGCUUAGAUAUCACACAGAACACCGAUUGCGAAGGCAGCACACUAAGUCAUUAUUGACGCUGAGGCACGAAAGUGUGGGGAUCAAACAGGAUUAGAUACCCGGGUAGUCCACACUGUAAACGAUGAUAACUCGCUGUCGGCGAUACACAGUCGGU